GCCUUCUUGGCUCAGUUGGUUAGAGCGCCAGUCUCAUAGCCUGAGUGAUUACCUAAUCAUACAAUCUGGAGGUCGAGAGUUCGACCCUCUCAGAGGGCA